UCCCCACUGCAGUCUCACUGUCCCCAAGCUGCUCCUGCCUCAUGGCACCAAUGGCGGUGGCCCUCAUUCUCGGUUGGUGGCUGGUGGCUGUGAGCAGGGCACAGCAAUUGCCCCGACCCUCCCUGUCGCUGCACCCCAGCCAGGGGGUGUCCUGGGGAACAAUGUCACCCUGCGCUGCCACAUGCCCCGCAUGGCUGCCUGGGUCCAGCUCUGGCUCAAUGGAACUCUGAGAUUUAACAAGGAAAAAGACAAGGAGCAGGAUGCAGCUGAGUUCUCCUUUGCUGUCACAAACCUGGAGGACGCCGGGACAUAUCAGUGUCGGUACCAGGUGUCAGAGCCACUGUGGACAUCAAAUCAGAGUGACCCCGUGAAGCUGGUGCUGACAGGUGCCAAGGGGCGGUUCCAUGGGAACCUGGUGGUGGCGGUGCUGAGGGGCUGUGCUGCUGUCUUGGUCUUCAGCCUGGGCCUCUACUUCGUCCUCGAUGCUCGCAGCGUCUGGACAUGGACAGAUGAGAGUGCUGGUGUCACCCCUGAAAUGCACAAGUCAGUGCAAUUGCAGGUGCCCCCCACAGACAACCAGGAUCUGACCUACGCCGAGAUGCCAGCUGCCAUCCCGUGCUCCCAGCCUUCCACUUCCCCCACUGCCCCCCAGUCCCCUGUCAUCUACACCACAGUCAGCACUGAUUUACCGCGCUGAUGGGCCUCCCCAAGUGUCUCAUUUCUGGGGUGUGUGGAAGGGGACAGACCUCAAAUUCCCUGCUUGGGACUCCCUGAUGUCCUCUUCUAACCACAAACCAGAUAACCUCCCCAAAUCUAACAAUCCCACAUUCUCACGGGUGCAUCCCAAAUGCUUCCCAGACACACCGAAUCCCUAAAUGCUCAUCUCUUACCCCAAAGUCCUUCUUUAUCCCCUCAAAUCUCUUAACAGUCCCUGAGACCACCAAAUCCUCUCCCAUCCGCUCCCAAACACCACCACCAUUCCUGUAAGAACCCCUCAUCUGUCCCAGUCUAUCCCUCCUCUGGAGAUCCCCAGACAUGUCCCUUUGCUCCCCUUCCAUCUCCCACUGAUGCUCGAUAGAUCCCCUAUAGAUUCUCCAAAAUUUCCUGCCCCCUUGUCAUGGAGGAACAAAAGCAUGACACUCCUAUUCUGUUCCAGUUUUAUCAUUGGUCUUUGGGUGCUGAGCAAUUCCUUUGUGCAUCACUUGCUUUGGAAAAAUAUAUUCAUAUAUCUGAUC
rnacentral:lncRNA from 7 species